UUGUUUGUAGGAAGGAGAGAUGGUUGGCCUCCCCUGACAGGGACGGGAACGGCCUUAGUGCUUUCCUGAUAACACAUGCGGUUAAAGCUACCCAGUUAUGUGGAUGUUUAUCAAAUUUUAUU